UACGUAGGGGGCAAGCAUUGUCCGGAUUUAUUGGGCGUAAAGAGCGUGUAGGCGGCCAGACAGGUCCGUUGUGAAAACUCGAGGCUCAACCUCGAGAUGUCGAUGGAAACCGUCUGGCUAGAGUCCGGAAGAGGAGUGUGGAAUUCCUGGUGUAGCGGUGAAAUGCGCAGAUAUCAGGAAGAACACCUAUGGCGAAGGCAGCACUCUGGGACGGUACUGACGCUGAGACGCGAAAGCGUGGGGAGCGAACAGG
rnacentral:rRNA from 1 species